AAAAAGGAGAGCGGCCCAUCUUACCUGGAGAAGACUGAAAAUCUCCCUACAAAGUUCAGAGCACUCUCUGCUCCCCACUGAUAGCUCAGCUCAGUUUGAGAGAUCAAGGACGCCGCCAUAACUGUGAUCCUUUCUCGCCCCUGGAAUGUUAUGUCCACCUUCUUCUGAAUCCAAGAUCUAAGGUUGCAACCACUGUGGGGCUGCAGGAAAGAAUAUUGAUGGCAGAGUCAUCACUAAAGCCUGAUCACUAGUCAGGCUUAAGGUCUCAGAGUAUAAAUAGACUAACUGA